UACGUAGGGUGCGAGCGUAAUCGGAAUUACUGGGCGUAAAGCGUGCGCAGGCGGUGAUGUAAGACAGGUGUGAAAUCCCCGGGCUUAACCUGGGAACUGCAUUGUGACUGCAUCGCUGGAGUGCGGCAGAGGGGGAUGGAAUUCCGCGUGUAGCAGUGAAAUGCGUAGAUAUGCGGAGGAACACCGAUGGCGAAGGCAAUCCCCUGGGCCUGCACUGGACGCUCAUGCACGAAAGCGUGGGGAGCAAACAGG
rnacentral:rRNA from 1 species